AACGGGUGAGUAACACGUAAGCAACCUGCCUUUAAGACGAGAAUAACAAUUGGAAACAGUUGCUAAGGCUGGAUAGGAAAUAAAAAGGCAUCUUUUUAUUUUUAAAAGACCUUUUUCGGAAGGUAUGCUUAAAGAGGGGCUUGCGUCACAUUAGUUAGUUGGUAGGGUAAAGGCCUACCAAGACGAUGAUGUGUAGCUGGACUGAGAGGUUGAACAGCCACAUUGGGACUGAGACACGGCCCAAACUCCUACGGGAGGCAGCAGUAGGGAAUUUUCGGCAAUGGAGGAAACUCUGACCGAGCAACGCCGCGUGAACGACGAAGUACUUCGGUAUGUAAAGUUCUUUUAUUGAAGAAGAAACAAUAGUGGAAAAACUAUCUUGACGUUAUUCAAUGAAUAAGCCCCGGCUAACUAUGUGCCAGCAGCCGCGGUAAUACAUAGGGGGCGAGCGUUAUCCGGAAUUAUUGGGCGUAAAGGGUGCGUAGGCGGUUUAAUAAGUCUCUAGUUUAAUUUCAACGCUUAACGUUGUCCUGCUAGAGAAACUGUUUAACUAGAGUGAGAUAGAGGUAAGCGGAAUUCCAUGUGUAGCGGUAAAAUGUGUAAAUAUAUGGAGGAACACCAGAGGCGUAGGCGGCUUACUGGGUCUUUACUGACGCUGAUGCACGAAAGCGUGGGGAGCAAACAGGAUUAGAUACCCUGGUAGUCCACGCCGUAAACUAUGAGUACUAAGUGUCGGGGUUAAACUCGGUACUGAAGUUAACACAUUAAGUACUCCGCCUGAGUAGUACGUACGCAAGUAUGAAACUUAAAGGAAUUGACGGGAUCCCGCACAAGCGGUGGAUCAUGUUGUUUAAUUCGAAGAUACACGAAAAACCUUACCAGGUCUUGACAUACUCUGCAAAGCUAUAGAAAUAUAGUGGAGGUUAUCAGGGAUACAGGUGGUGCAUGGUUGCCGUCAGCUCGUGUCGUGAGAUGUUAGGUUAAGUUCUAAAACGAGCGCAACCCCUAUCGUUAAUUGCCAGCACGUUAUGGUGGGGACUUUAGCGAGACUGCCAAUGAAAAAUUGGGGGAAGGUGGGGAUUACGUCAAAUCAUCAUGCCCCUUAUGAUCUGGGCUACAAACGUGAUACAAUGGCUAUUACAAAGAGUAGCUGAAACGCGAGUUUUCGGCAAAUCUCAAAAAAAUAGUCUCAGUUCGGAUUGAGGUCUGCAACUCGACUUCAUGAAGUUGGAAUCGCUAGUAAUCGCGAAUCAGCAUGUCGCGGUGAAUACGUUCUCGGGGUUUGUACACACCGCCCGUCAAACCACGAAAGUGGACAAUACCCGAAAGCGACAGCCUAACUGCGUAAGCAGAGGGAAUCGUCUAAGGUAGGGUCGAUGAUUGGGGUUAAGUCGUAACAAGGUAUCCCUACCGGAAGGUGGGGAUGGAUCACCUCCUUUCU
rnacentral:rRNA from 1 species